rnacentral:rRNA from 1 species
UGCCUAACACAUGCAAGUCAAGGGGACUGCAGCAAUGCAGUAACCGGCGCACGGGUGAGUAAUACGUGGGUAAUUUGCCUUUGAGAUUGGGACAACCUGCCGAAAGGCGGGCUAAUACCAAAUAAGACCACGGGAACUUCGGUUCCUGAGGUCAAAGAUGGCCUCUAUUUAUAAGCUAUCGCUUAAAGAUGAGCCCACGUCCCAUCAGCUAGUUGGUAGGGUAAUGGCCUACCAAGGCUAAGACGGGUAGCUGGUCUGAGAGGAUGACCAGCCACACUGGAACUGAGACACGGUCCAGACUCCUACGGGAGGCAGCAGUGGGGAAUAUUGCGCAAUGGAGGAAACACUGACGCAGCAACGCCGCGUGGGUGAUGAAGGCUUUCGGGUCGUAUUGCCC